UUUCAUUUGGCUUUUUUCUGUUUACCGUCACUUUUGCUAUUUUACCAGAACUUCUAAAUAUUUGAAAAUCAAGCAUUUAAAAGGUACUCUCAAACUUUCCAAGGUUCAGCUUGCCUGCUGAUUUCCACCUCAAAUAUGGUACAGAAAUGUGAAAUAUCUGGUUUCCCCAAGAAGACGUGACUAGUGCUGGAAUCUACUCGACUCGCAUCGACCUUUGUGACGUCAUGAAAAUAACAAAGUCUCCUGAUAUACAUGUAUAUGUCCAAAGUAGGGAGCCACUGGAAUUGUCUCGGUGAAAGUUAUCUUUGUGAUCAGAGCCACCUGUCCUGUUUCCACUUCCCUCGAUUACUGUGGCUCUUUCAAUGUUUUUCCCUUUUUAACUGGGCAUUUUAAGCUGUGUCACCCAUGUAGAAUCCAGAAAUAGUUUGUAAAGAAAAAUGAAGUCGCCUUUGUUGUGAAGAUGCUGAAGUAAUUUCUUCAGAGUGGAGAGGUUUACAUACAAGGGGAAUUCGGGGUUAUUAUGUUGCUUUUGCUCCAAUUUCUCACUUGUCCUGGCUUUCAUAGUGCAGGGUUAGGCUACCAAGUCGGGUGACUGCAGACUGGCUAUCAAGAUAUUGAUGAUUUCUUAUUUUUUGCAGUAAGGGUGCAGAGCAGACAGACUUGGAAUUUCCGAGCAGAAAGAGCCUGUUAUUAAUUUUAUUAUUCAGUGGUGUAUGUCUGUUCAAGACAGUUCACAAACACAUGAUUAACUUCAAGAUAAGUGCUUCGGGCAAUGGUACGUUUUUUGCCCGUCUAAAGGUACUUGCCCUUUAUCGUAACCUUUUUUCUCGACAUGAAGUUCCUUUGGACUUGUUCAGGAUCGAAAACUGUAGCAUAACAUGGGACAUUGUGCAGCAGAAAGAAUUUGGAAGGUUAACCCUAACCUCCGAAGGUUUAUGUAAAAUUAUAUUUAACUCUGAGGAUUUUGGAAUUUUAACUAAAGUAGAGAAUCAAGAAUAAAAUUGAAACCAGAGAGCUGCCCAAAAUGAAAGAUUGUCUGAGCAAAAGGAAAAAGUCAUUCAAAAGGUCAAGUUCACAGUCAUGGUUUCCAGCGUGAAAAUAAUAUGGAAAUGAGAGGGUUUCCCAAUGGAUCUGAAACCACAAUGACUUGACAAAUUUAGGCACAUAGUUCAAACGGAUCAGUAAUUGCGUGAUAGUUUAUAUCUUAAUGCUGUGUGUUUAGCAAUUGAGAGAUAACUAACUUCGGUGAGUUGACGAAGAUUGGCACAUGAGGCAUUGAGAACAUCAACACCUGGCUUUGUUUCCCUAGUUUUAAAUUCACUUUUUGGUGGUCACCAAAUUACUUUGCUUGUUUGCGUCAGUAGCGUCAGUAGACUGGAAGUUAUCCUGCACUGUGUAAGUUAAAGUCAAUUUCCAUUGGUCUGUUUAUCAAAACCAAAAACCCCAAAUUCAAUUAUUAGGCAUAAAUUUGUUGCUUCACAUUUCUUAGAACAUUUGAUGACUAAUCAUACCACUUUGUUUCUGUUUAUUUCUUGUUCAGUUCAUCUGUUUUAAAUGUUUCUCAAAGUGGUGUUUAGUUUGGCUCCUCCAAAAAGAUGACAGAAAUAUGCUAUCUGAAAUUUCAGCAUCCACUGGUGAUUUUUAAAAUCUUUUCAAUGCAACUGAUGACAUGAUUUACAUAAUCCCCAGUGUGCGAUUUCUUUCUGUUGGCACCCUUAAAUUUCUCCCAGUUAGUAUUGUUUCUAGUCUUAUUUUUUUCAAACCCUGCAUCUUUGUGAUUCCUUACAACUUGUCCAACCUUUCUCCCAUGUAGAUCUGCCAAGUGAGCCUUCAAGAUGCGCCUUUUCCUUCUUUUUGCUCUUGUUGUCUGUGCCGUGGCCGACAUAGCUCCCCUCUACACACAUCUGGUAGAUGGAAUUCAGGGCCAGUAUAUUGUGGCCCUCACGGAAGAGAGCCGAACUGUGGAUGAAUUCAUAGCCAGCUUUGACAAGGCUAGUGCCAGCGUCUCCAUCAUACCAAAGAUCCGCUAUCGAGACGGUGCCUUCAAGGGAUUCGCUGCUCAAAUGAGCACUGUCCAGCUAGCUGAAAUCCGUAAAAUGCCAGAAGUUGCCUACGUGGAGCAGGACUCUGUCGUCCGUGCUCUCUGGGUGGCCUCCUGGGGUCUGGACCGCGUGGACCAGAGGACACUUCCAUUGAACGGAAAGGCAAUCUUCCACGGUACCGGCAAAGGCACCAAUGCCUACAUCAUCGACACAGGGGUCUAUCCCAAGAACCUCUUUUUCUCAGACCGUGCCUACAUCGCAUACGAUGCAGUCAAAGAUAAGUAUGGGGGACUGGACUGCAACGGGCAUGGAACUCACUGCGCCGGGACCGUGGGUGGGGAAGUGUUUGGCAUCGCCAGGGAAGCCAACCUCUUUGGGGUGAAGGUGCUGGGAUGCGGCGGAUCAGGAACAACCGCUGGUGUCAUUGACGGAAUGGACUUUGUUGCCAAGGAGGGCGAGCGGCCGGCCGUCGCCUCUAUGUCUCUCGGUGGAGGGGCCUCCACAGCCAUGGACGAAGCUGUCGCCAGGCUCUUCGAUGCGGAUGUCACAGUGUCCGUCGCCGCCGGUAACAGUUACGGGGAUGCAUGCAGCUCUUCCCCAGCCAGAGCAAAGGAGGCCAUCACUGUUGGGGCCACGGACAUAGAGGACCAGAAGGCUGCCUUCUCCAACUAUGGGAAGUGCGUAGACAUCUUUGCACCAGGCGUCGACAUUCCGAGCCUAUGGAUAGAUGGCACACAUGCCGUCAACACGAUCAGUGGGACAUCCAUGGCAUGCCCUCAUGUCACAGGUGGAGCUAUCCUUGCUGUUGGCAAUAACCCUGAGCUGACAUCCGCCCAAGUCAAAGCCAAGAUUUUGGACAAUGGCACACGGGACGUGGUCAAGAACCCUGGACCAGAGUCGCCUAAUCUCAUGUUGUACAUCCCGUGAAACAAGAGGAGGGAGGUCCAGCCACAAGGAUACAACAUGCACCAUCCGAGAAGACCAGAAGGGAAUUAACAAAUUCACAGUUCACUCCAAGCGCAUCAUGGGAAAUUAACGAGCAGAAGGCCAGCGCAGAGCACAGUUACAAGUAAUCAGAUACCGUCUUGUUCUGUGGAGUCACUCAUCGCAGACGACGUCUGUUUCCCGCGGUCGCAAGGAAUAACAAGAGCGUGGAAUUGAGGAUGGGAAUGCAUGCUGGAAAAUGUGACGAAUGAUAGCGCGUAGUGGGACUUUACGUUCGGCCAGAAUUAAACGGAGGGUGUAAUCGUUAAUGUAAAACUGAUUGGCCGCGUGAGAAGAGUGUAACGAAGGUGACAUUUUAACACCAGGAUGAAAUCCUACAGGCACCCGUGGACCGAACUGUGUUUGAAAGUCUGAACCCUGGAUAAAGUCCGAUCAGAUUGAAUUUAGACCCACGGAAUGAAGUUUGCAUACACGGAGGGCAUAGGCAGGUGGAAUACUUCACGUCAAGCAUUCAACCCUUGAAAAAUGGCGCCCUCUGCACGCAUACUGCUUUUCAUCGUGUUCAUUCUGGCGAUUCAUUUGACGGAACCAAAGGAUGGCUACAAUGGGUUGGCAAAAGGAAAGCGUCGGUUCUCUUCACGCUCGCGAAGAACGUAUACUUCCACUUACCGGAGUAGCGGUACUACAUAUUACAGCAGAGGUGGUGGUAGCAUGCCCUGGUGGCAGAUCGUUCUCAUCGUAGGAGGAACCAUAGUACUCUUCCUCUUAAUGUAUUGCUGCUAUCGGGCGUUAAAAGGACCCAGAGAGCCCCGGUCAGACACUCCCGGCAUCCAGACCACGCGAGACCAUGUCCAGCUCACGGAUCACCAGCCUAUCCAGCAGCCGUACCCCGCUGCCCAGUACCACCAGGUAAGCACGUCGGACGGCCGGGAGGUUCCGCCACCGGUCCACAUGCACCAGAGCCCGGCCUAUCCGCCGCCGUUACCGCAGCAGCAACAGCAGCCGCUGUACCCGCCGGCGAUCGCGACGGCGCCUCCGCCCUCUUACGACGACGCGCUGGUGAUUUCCAAGGAGCCAGUCGGCGAGGGCGCCCCCGACCGGUGGGAAGACGAACCCGAGAUCAACAGGAAAGAAUUCGGGGUUAUUUGAUCCAAUUCAAAGGGACACACUUUAAAGGAACUGGAAAUUAUAACCUUCUUCAAUUUUUAACAGUAGGAACCUACUUAUCAAUAGUGUGGAGUUUUUUUUCACCUUCCUCGCCAAUGGAGUUUCGCACUUGCUCAGCCGUACUUGUCUAGAAUCUGCAUGUCAUAAUAAUAGUGAUUAUCAUGUUUUGUGAAAUCAUAGAACUUCGCCAGAACUUGCAGUGUACCAUGUACAGCACCAUUUUAAGCCUCGUUUUUCCCUUGUCUUUUUAACUGAUGUUUAGACGUCCAUUUGAAUUGUGUGCACGUAUCAAUUAAAGUUGAGGACUGUUGGUUCCACUUUCUAGGAUAUUUCCUUUGCAGAAUUGUUUAUUGCCAAAUUACAAGCCUUUUGGUCAGUACUGCUGUUUUCCUUUAUUAAUUAACGCAUGAUAACAUUAAAGGUUGAAAUAAUUCCAAAGGUUGAUAUUGUAAUUUUGUUCUCUUUUCAGGCUUCAAUUUGUAAUUAAGUUAAGCAUGUGCUGGUAUAAGGCCCAGACUUGAGUUCUGUUCAUAACUCGGGUUAUUGAUUUAUUACUUUUUAUGAAAUAAAUCUGUUAAUAGUUAAGCUCGCUGAGAA
rnacentral:misc_RNA from 1 species